GAUCCUGCAUAUACUGCCUGACUGUGAUUCCUGGAAACUCUAGAAAUCUUUACUAAUCUUCUAGAAAUCUUUAAUAAACAUCUCAAAUGAAUCAGUACAUAUCUGUAAUCCUGACUUUUGGGAAAUGGCGACCAAGAAAAUCAGGAGUUCGAGGCCCGCCUGGGCUAUAUGAGACCUGCCUCGAAAAACAAGGGAGCUGAUUUUGUAGCUCGGUUGGUAGAUUGAUUGCCUAGGAUUCAUGAAGUCCUGGGUUCAGCGCCCAGGAGGGACAUAACGUUAGUGUAAUGGCAGCACUCAGAAGGUAGUGGAGGCCUGAGGAGCAGUAGUUUCAAGGUGAUCCUGUUCUACACGGAUAAAUUCAAAGCAGUAAAAUAAAGGAGUGGAAUUUUUGAAACCGGAUAAGAUCAAACUAAGGUCAAACUGUGUCUACAGUCAGGGUGGACAAGCUGAAAGCCCCCUCAAGAAUCCAAGAUAAGCUGCCAUUCUUGUUUCCCACCAAUCCUGUGACAAAAUACUCAACAGGAAACCACUUAAGGAGAAAAGGAUUUGUCUUGGCUCAUGGUUUAAGACAUGGCAGAACACACAGCUAGGACUCACAGCUGGAAAGACUGGGAAGCAGAGAGCAGGAUAUGCUUCCAUUCCUUCUUCGAUUUUUAUUCAGCCCUGGCUGCUAAUCCAUGGGAUGAUGAUGCUGACAUUAGAUCUGCCUCCUCUGACUUCCAAAUGCUGGGAUUAAAGGUAUGUGCCACCACUGCCCAGCUGUUUAAUUUUUUUAAA